AAUGAACGUUGGCGGCGUGGAUUAGGCAUGCAAGUCGAGCGAGAAGCCCCUUUCGGGGGGUGGACAGCGGCGAAAGGGAGAGUAACGCGUGGAUACCUGCCCCCAGGUCCCGGGAUAGCUGCGGGAAACUGCAGGUAAUACCGGAUGAUGUCUCCGGAUUAAAGGUGUGAUUCCGCCAGGGGACUGGUCCGCGUCCUAUUAGCUUGUUGGUGGGGUAAUGGCCUACCAAGGCAAUGAUGGGUACCGGGUGUGAGAGCAUGACCCGGCUCACUGGGACUGAGACACUGCCCAGACACCUACGGGUGGCUGCAGUCGAGAAUCUUCGGCAAUGGACGCAAGUCCGACCGAGCGACGCCGCGUGCGGGAUGGAGGCCUUCGGGUUGUAAACCGCUGUCAGAGGGGAUGAAAUGCCAUAGGGCUAUCCCUAUGGUUUGACAUAUCCUCAGAGGAAGGACGGGCUAAGUUCGUG
rnacentral:rRNA from 1 species